rnacentral:rRNA from 1 species
CCGCGUGGAGGACGAAGACCCUCUGGGUUGUAAACUGCUUUUCUCAGGGAAUAAACCACCCGAUGCGUUGGGUGCUGCAGGUACCGUUAGAAUAAGCAUCGGCUAACUCCGUGCCAGCAGCCGCGGUAAUACGGAGGGUGCGAGCGUUAUCCGGAAUCACUGGGUUUAAAGGGUGCGUAGGCGGCCCGGUAAGUCAGUUGUGAAAUACCCUUGCUUAACGAGCGGAGUUGCGAUUGAUACUGUCGGGCUUGAAUUAGGAUGAGGCAGGCGGAAUGUGGCGUGUAGCGGUGAAAUGCAUAGAUAUGCCAUAGAACACCGAUUGCGAAGGCAGCCUGCUGGGCCUGGAUUGACGCUGAGGCACGAAAGCGUGGGGAGCAAACAGGAUUAGAUACCCUGGUAGUCCACGCCCUAAACGAUGCUUACUUGCUGUUUCUGGGCGACUGGGAGCGGCGGAGCGAAAGCGUUAAGUAAGCCACCUGGGGAGUACGCCGGCAACGGUGAAACUCAAAUGAAUUGACGG